rnacentral:rRNA from 1 species
UGAGCGAAAUACCUUGUCGUUUGAUUGACGACGCGCAUGAAGGGCGUAACGAGAUCUCCACUGUCCCGAGACGGACUCCACUGAAUACACUCCUUCGGUGCAAAGGCCGAAGAUUUCCAGUGGGAAGCGAAGACCCCGUGAAACUUUACUGCAGCCUGUUGCUGUAACGCAAGCUUUAUUGCAAAGCGUAGCUAGGAGUUGCUAAGCUUGGACUUUCGGGUUCAAGAUAGACGACAAUGUCACACUAGCCUAUAGAGCUUACGUUGCUAACCUGUUUACAGGGACAACAAUUGGUGGGCAGUUUGGCUGGGGUGGCACCCUGUCGAAAAGGUAUCGACAGGGCCCAAUGGUUGACUCAACCGGUUUAGAAAUCCGGUGUAGAGUGCAAGAGCAAAAGUCAGCCUGACUGAGAUCACAAUAAUACUGGUCUCAGAAACGAAAGUUGGGUCUAGCGAACCUCUAUGCCUCCUUAAUGGGGGCUAGGGAUGACUGAAAAGUUACUCCGGGGAUAACAGAGUUGUCGCGCCCGAGAGUUCAUACUGUGAAGUGGGAAACUAACUUUACAAGAACAUAUCGACGGCGCGGCUUGCUACAUCGAUGUCGGCUCUUCCUAUCCUGGCCGUGCAGAAGCGGCCAAGGGUGGGGGUGUUCACCCAUUAAAAGGGAUCGCGAGCUGGGUUCACAACGCUGUGAGGCAGUUGGUUUGAUAUCUACUGGAAAUGUUUAGUGUCUGAGAGGAAGGAAGUCAUAGUACGAGAGGAACUGACUUUCGACACCUCUGGUCGAGCGGUUAUCUGAUAAGGUAUGCCGCGCAGCUACGUGUUGAGGGAUAAAUGCUGAAAGCAUCUAAGCAUGAACCCCUCCUCAAAAAGAGACACUACGGACUCCCAUAGAAGAUGGGUUUAAUGGAACUGAGGUGUAAGCAGCAAGGUAACGAGCUGUUCAGCCUGCAGUUCCCAAUACGUUCGUAUCUGUACUGAU